GCCGAAGUGGCGGAACAGGCAGACGCGCCGCUCUCAAAAAGCGGUGAGGGUGACCUCGUGUGGGUUCGACCCCCACCUUCGGCACCG
rnacentral:tRNA from 1 species